AGAGUUUGAUCAUGGCUCMKGACGAACGCUGGCGGCGUGCCUAAUACAUGCAAGUCGAGCGGACAGAUGGGAGCUUGCUCCCUGAUGUUAGCGGCGGACGGGUGAGUAACACGUGGGUAACCUGCCUGUAAGACUGGGAUAACUCCGGGAAACCGGGGCUAAUACCGGAUGGUUGUUUGAACCGCAUGGUUCAAACAUAAAAGGUGGCUUCGGCUACCACUUACAGGUGGACCCGCGGCGCAUUAGCUAGUUGGUGAGGUAACGGCUCACCAAGGCAACGAUGCGUAGCCGACCUGAGAGGGUGAUCGGCCACACUGGGACUGAGACACGGCCCAGACUCCUACGGGAGGCAGCAGUAGGGAAUCUUCCGCAAUGGACGAAAGUCUGACGGAGCAACGCCGCGUGAGUGAUGAAGGUUUUCGGAUCGUAAAGCUCUGUUGUUAGGGAAGAACAAGUACCGUUCGAAUAGGGCGGUACCUUGACGGUACCUAACCAGAAAGCCACGGCUAACUACGUGCCAGCAGCCGCGGUAAUACGUAGGUGGCAAGCGUUGUCCGGAAUUAUUGGGCGUAAAGGGCUCGCAGGCGGUUUCUUAAGUCUGAUGUGAAAGCCCCCGGCUCAACCGGGGAGGGUCAUUGGAAACUGGGGAACUUGAGUGCAGAAGAGGAGAGUGGAAUUCCACGUGUAGCGGUGAAAUGCGUAGAGAUGUGGAGGAACACCAGUGGCGAAGGCGACUCUCUGGUCUGUAACUGACGCUGAGGAGCGAAAGCGUGGGGAGCGAACAGGAUUAGAUACCCUGGUAGUCCACGCCGUAAACGAUGAGUGCUAAGUGUUAGGGGGUUUYCCGCCCCUUAGUGCUGCAGCUAACGCAUUAAGCACUCCGCCCUGGGGGAGUACGGUCGCAAGAACUGAAACUCAAGGGAAUUGACGGGGCYCGCACAKCGGUGGAGCAUGGUGAUUCGUUCGAGCACSGCGGAAGAGCUACCAGGUCUGACAUCGUCUGACAUCUUAGAGAWGACGUCCAUCGGGUCAGAGUGAAC
rnacentral:rRNA from 1 species